UGGGAGACCCCCCCCCCCAACCCAGUCCAGCCCCGACCCCACCAUGGGUCCCGGGCCAUUGUGGCUGGUGGCCGUUUGUGUCCUGGGAGCAGGUCCCGUGGACACCAGACUCACCCAGACCCCCAGACACCUGGUCGCCGGCCGGGGACAGAACGCGAGCCUCCAUUGUAAGCAGGACCAGAACCACAAUGCCAUGUACUGGUACCGGCAGGACCCGGGACAAGGCCCCCGAAUGCUCUUCUACUUCUACUAUGAAAAACUCCAAGAGAAUAAAACGGACUCCACGAGAUUCGUCCCUGAGCAGCCAGAAAAAUCUAUCCUCCUCCUCACAGUGAGAGUGCUGGCCCCGGAGGACUCGGCUGUGUAUCUCUGCGCCAGCAGCAAGGACACAGCGCUGCGGGGCCAAGCCCUUUGCAGCUCCUCUCGAUGA